CCUACGGGAGGCAGCAGUGGGGAAUAUUGGACAAUGGGCGAAAGCCUGAUCCAGCCAUGCCGCGUGUGUGAAGAAGGCCUUUUGGUUGUAAAGCACUUUAAGCGGGGAGGAGGGCACCACGGUUAAUACCCGUGAAUGUCGGACGUUACCCGCAGAAUAAGCACCGGCUAACUCUGUGCCAGCAGCCGCGGUAAUACAGAGGGUGCGAGCGUUAAUCGGAAUUACUGGGCGUAAAGCGCGCGUAGGCGGCUUGUUAAGUCAAAUGUGAAAUCCCCGAGCUUAACUUGGGCAUUGCAUUCGAUACUGGCAAGCUAGAGUAUGGGAGAGGAAGGUAGAAUUCCAGGUGUAGCGGUGAAAUGCGUAGAGAUCUGGAGGAAUACCGAUGGCGAAGGCAGCCUUCUGGCCUAAUACUGACGCUGAGGUGCGAAAGCAUGGGGAGCAAACAGGAUUAGAUACCCUGGUAGUCCAUGCCGUAAACGAUGUCAACUAGCCGUUGGGCCCCUUGGAGGCGUAGUGGCGCGAGCACGACGAUAAGUUAGACCGCCGUCGGGAGGUACGGUCGCGAGAACGUAAACGUACGAAAGAAAGUUAGACGGACGUGAGACGUACGACCGACGGACGACGACGAGGGGAGGAGGG
rnacentral:rRNA from 1 species